UGGUACUUUAACCACCAAAUCUCGUCCCAAAGAUUCCAAGGUCAAGAAGGAGGAGCCCCAAAUUGAUGACGACGACGACGAUUUUGUAAAACCCAAAGUGUUGAAGAGCUCAUCAGGGUCCCGCCCCAACGCAUCUAAAGUCAAGAAGGAAGAAGAUAAGGAUGAUGAUGAUGAUCACAAACCCAUAUCCAAGAAGAACUCUGUGGCCAAGGAAUUGAACAAUAAGAAGAAGAAAAAGGAGGAAGAGAAGAAGAAGGGAUCUGUAGUUACGGAGCAAAAUGGCAAAAAGAGGGAGAGGAAGGUUUAUGAGUUGCCUGGUCAGAAGCGAGACCCUCCCGAGGAGAGAGAUCCACUUAGGAUUUUUUAUGAAUCACUGUAUAAGCAGCUUCCCAAAAGUGAAAUGGCUCAAAUCUGGAUGAUGGAAUCCGGUUUGCUCUCUAAAGAAGAGGCAAAGAAAGUUUAUGAGAAGAAACAGAAGAAGAAUCAGCAGAAACUGAGUUCCCCAAUCAAAGCAGUUGCCUCAACAAAGAAGACUCAAUCUGCAACUGUUGUUAAGAAAAAGACACCAUCAUCGCCAGUAUCUUCAAUUAAAAAGAAGACAACAGAAUCUGAGCUUGACAAAAAGCAGCCAAAAAAGCGCAAGAUUGGAGAUGGGAGCUCUGAAGAAGAUUCUGAUGAUGAUUUCAUAGUUAAUAGAAGCACAAAGAAACACAGAGCAUCUUGAGCAAA
rnacentral:misc_RNA from 1 species